UAGCCUAGUGGUUAAGGUUUUGGAUUGCCAAUCCGGAGACGACGCGACGGGUUCGAUUCUCGU
rnacentral:tRNA from 1 species